GGGAAAGUUUGAGUUGAUGCAGAGUUCUGGAAAACCUCAGAGAGGUGGAAGAAAGGGUUAAGAGCAUAGAUAGCCCAUUGUUGACCUUGGCAGUGUUUCAGUGGCAUGACACUUUGGCGUGUGAGCAAGAACUCUGGAGCAAACCUACAUUAGACUUCUCAUAUUUGUCUUAGCUUGUCAGCAUUAUGUGGUUAAAAAGGAAAGAUUUGAAUCCUCUGGAGAAAGAUUGUUUUUGACCUGCUCUCUGCUGGUUCUCUGCCGACCUGUAUUGUCACUCCACACGCCACAAACCUCUGCAGGCCUUGCUUGCAGCAAGCCCAGAGGACUCCAGGGACACCAUAUAUCCUUGUGGACUUGCUUAAUUUCUCAUCCUAAGAGAGGCGGAAAGGUGGACUGCUGAGGACCCCUCCCUUCUUCCCCCAAUGUGUCUUUUAUGAGACCUGAAAAUUGGCAAAGUGACCUUGAGAAAGCUGAGGGAAGAAUUGAGAAAAAGAGAAAACAAUUGCUUUUCUUUGUACAGGAGCUAAAACAGAAAUUGCCUUAAUAUUAACAAUGCACAGAACUUUAUCAGCUGCCAGGAAUGGAUAGGUUGCCUUCUGUUUCGUGAGAAAUAUUCAAGAUAAAUAACUUAAAUAAUAUAAAAGUGAAAAAAAUUUUAAAAAGCUUCCAAAUGGGGAAACAUACAUUUGAGCCAGGCCUUUAAAAUGUGCCUAUGAACCAUUGUUGGACUCGACCCUGGGGAAUCCACAGAGGAGAGGAAAUUUAUAUGAGAAAAAAGAAGAGAAUGUGCCUUUUUCAUGGAAUGACAUCAAGAGAAUUAAAUAGAUUAUUCUAACUGAGUCCUAUUUUAUUAUAGAAGAUGCUGGGAUCCCUCAGGUGGCUGUAUGACAUUAAUGCAUUACCACAUUUUUACCAGAAAAGGAAGCUGGAACUACGUGGGAGAGAGAGACAUGUAGACAAGUGGAAUUUUCAAGGAGGAGGCUUGAACGCAUCAAAUUUUAAGGUUUUAAGGAUUAUGUUCACAUUCUUCAAAUGUAUUGACAAAAUGAGGUUUUGUCACCAGUACAUGCCCUGAGCUGCUCAAAGUUUCAAAAGUGCUUAUCACUGCCUCAAGGUUGUUUCUCAGAGCUGUUUUAGGAAGAGAGACCAUCGUCAACUGGCCUGAAGUAGACCGAGCCCCGCCACAAGAGCAGCGUCCACGUAGACGGCUCGGGAGACGACCUAAAGUCACCCUCUCCUUCAUUUUAACGCUGAAAUCUCCACGCCAGGAGAGGGGCCUAAGCCUUAUUGGCAUAACAUGCUAUGUAUGUGAGAGCAUGUUUUCAGACUGCACCUGCGCAAGCUAAUACCCACCUCUACACGUGAUAAUAAAGUUUCCCUUUUAGAUAUUUGUUCA
rnacentral:lncRNA from 1 species